UACGUAGGGUGCAAGCGUUGUCCGGAAUUAUUGGGCGUAAAGAGCUCGUAGGCGGUCUGUCGCGUCUGCUGUGAAAACUCAGGGCUUAACCCUGAGCUUGCAGUGGGUACGGGCAGACUAGAGUGCGGUAGGGGAGACUGGAAUUCCUGGUGUAGCGGUGAAAUGCGCAGAUAUCAGGAGGAACACCGGUGGCGAAGGCGGGUCUCUGGGCCGUAACUGACGCUGAGGAGCGAAAGCGUGGGGAGCGAACGGG
rnacentral:rRNA from 1 species